AACCUAUAGUGAUGGCAUCGUCUCAAGAGAUCAUUGUAUCUCUCCCAUGCAUCGUAGAGUGUCUCUAAAUCCAUCUGCACAAAAGAAGAUAUAUCAUUACGUAAUUU
rfam:Gossypium hirsutum cultivar TM-1 chromosome 8, whole genome shotgun sequence